GAUGAACGCUGGCGGCGUGCCUAAUACAUGCAAGUCGAGCGAACGGACGAGAUGCUUGCUUCUCUGAUGUUAGCGGCGGACGGGUGAGUAACACGUGGAUAACCUACCUAUAAGACUGGGACAACUUCGGGAAACCGGAGCUAAUACCGGAUGAUAUUUUGAACCACAUGGUUCAAGAGUGAAAGAUGGUCUUGCUGUACCUUAUAGAUGGAUCCCCUCUGCAUUAGCUAGUUGUUAAGGUAACGGCCUACAAAGGCAAGGAUGCAUAGCCGACCUGAGAGGGGGAUCGGCCACACUGGAACUGGGACACGGUCCAGACUCUUACGGGAGGCGGCAGUAGGGAAUCUUCCGCAAUGGGCGAAAUCCUGACGGAGCACGGCCGCGUGAGUGAGGAAGUUCUUCGGAUCGUAAACCUCUGUUAUUAGGGAAGAACAUAUGUGUAAUUAACUGUGCACAUCUUGACGGUACCUAAUCAGAAAGCCACGGCUAACUACGUG
rnacentral:rRNA from 1 species